CAGCUUGGAGCACUGCAUAGAGAGACUGCAUGCGGAUCUGUGUUGCCGCCUUGGAGCGGGUCUAUAUGUUGGAGUGGUGCCCCGAUUAUCAAUGCCCUCCAAAUUUCUGCACAGCUCCUAAAGGAGAUACCCUUCCUUGUGGCAGCCACUUCAGCAGCUAGAGGGUGUUGGAUGGAAGCAUCACGAUCUGCCUCCAGAGUAGAGUAUUUUGAGAUAUGACCAUCUAGAUCAGAGCAGAGCACCUGGAGAUCUGAAUGGAUUUCUCUGGUGAUUUCUGCUGCCACAGGUACUACGUUCUCCCUAGUCAACAUUGAC